GGCUCCGUAGUACAAUGGAUAGUAUGCAGGCCUCCGGAGCCUGAGGUGCAGGUUCGAUUCCUGCCGGAGCUA
rnacentral:tRNA from 1 species